rnacentral:lncRNA from 1 species
AGAAAGCAAGAAGAGAGAGAUACAGAAAAAGCUAUAAAUCAAUAUAUAUAUAUAUAUAUAUAUAUUUUUACACAUGACCCGAUGUAACCUAGAUUGAGAAGUACAGUGGACAUUUUUAAGAUUGAGCCCUGUGUGGGGUUAAUUGCUAGAAAGUUGGAGAUUUAUUCCGGAUAUUUAAUACUAUCGCGUUACAACAGAUGGCACCGCUGAUUUACGACUGCCGAAAAAUGUCAGUGUUAAAUAAAUGAUUGAAAUUCAAAACAGUCGGUGGAUCGAUGGGACACGGCAUAAAUCUAAAGUUUGUAAUUAUAACGUAAGCAGGCAUGGCGCAAUUCUGUUCGAAUGGUCGAUCCUCCCUCUCUUCCUCCGUCUUGGUUAUCGAUGCAAGAGUUUGGCACGCACCGAUCGCUCCUAUUGUUUCGACAAUUUAAUUAAAAAUCAAGCUGUUAGAAUUUAUUUUGUCAAGAUUUCGUCCGGAGGAAAAAUCUGACGAAAAUAAAAAGAAAGAAGAAUAGAAAGGGAAAAGAGGCCGCACUUAAACAGAGUAGUGUAUUGUAUUUUUUAUUUUUGGUUGCGGGAUAAAUAGUUCGCCCGUUUGAAUGAUGUCUUGGUAGCUGCAGACGUUCGAUCGAAAAGAUAAUCGUUGGAACGGAAACAAUCUUAACGCUGACCCCAUUGUGUAGCGUCCGAGCUACUUGGUCCAGUGUUACCUGUUAACUGAAGCGAGGAAACCUGGACGAAACUUGUCGAUUUGUAAGGAAGAAUAGAUGAGUCGGGGACCCCGUGGCCUCAGAUUCUCUCGGUUAACUUCAGCGAAUGUGGCAAUAAUGAUUGAGACGCCAGGCGCGAAAAUAAGCGACGGCCGGAUUAGCAGAGAGCGUGAUUUUAGCCUGGCAGGUGAGUUGUAAUCAAUCCAGUAUUUGACUAAAGCUCAAUUCAAACUUAUCGAUCGAAGCGCAGGAAAAUAACCCGAGGAUAAUUACCGAAAAGUUCCGAUAUUCCAACGAAAUUGGGUACGGAUGUGUCUGGUUAGACAGGCGUAAAGAGUAGGCGUCCUUUCUCGGAAAGAUUUGAGAAAUGGUCCACUCCAGCCCGUCCUGUAAUUUGAAAUGGAAAGGGAUUAUUGUCGGCAUCCAUCUUAUACCGAGUAACGUUCCCAAAAGGAAAGGUGGUCGUCUCUCGCUCACUUCUCCGACUCUCUUCUCCUCUUAGCCCCAGCCGUCACAGGCACUUUUAAUAUAUCUGGCGACGACUGGUGUCGAGUGCUUUGUUUUAAUACGUGGCCCGAAGGAUGUUUCGUUUAUUGCUUCGUUUAUGAAGCCGGUGAUAUAUAGAGAAACAUUCUUCUCGGUCCGAUAGGCGCUAUUAGUAUCUCUACACUGAAUACAUAAUGUUAGCGUGUUGCGCUUUAGCACAUUGGAUUAUAACUUAAGGAAAAAUUUCUUCCAUUUCCAUACAUCCUGCCGACAUUUUCAUCCUUUUAAACGAACUUUCUUCAUCAAGUUACUAAUUAGGAUUAAUCAGAAUGUUCCAGAGUUCCUCUCAAAUUCGAUAAAAAAAUCGAUUUGAGAUUAGAUUUAGUACAUUUCCAUUUCUAUUUUUUUUUUUCUUCCAUGGAUUUAUCGAUUCUUCUUUCAUCCUGUCCAGAUCGUUUCUGGUAAAUCAAUGUUACUUUUACAUGUGGUCGGAUUCCUGUAUUUGAUCGGAGGAUGGACCGGUGUGUCAGCUGGAGGAACCGGGAUCGAUUCCCGUUAAUCUUUCCGUUUUCUUCCUUUUCUCUCUUAAAUAUUCUAGUUCCUUCUGUCCAUGCCGAAAAACCGUUUUUUUCUUGUAGGCUUAGGCAUAGAAUUUAUUGAUAGUGUUUGUAUAAAUAAUGCGAAAAAUUAAGUUUUUUAAUUUUUGGUAUGGUGGCUUUUCCGUAUGAAAUACCGCAUUAGUGUCUAAUGGGAAAAUAAACAAGUAAAUAUAUUUAUCUUAGCCGCCUUUAAGGAAUUUUCUCCAGUUUUAACCAUUUAGAAAUUCCUCUCUUCCGACUAAUUUUACCACGCAUAACAUUUUAUCACUGCCAUUCUAGCAGAAAAUUAGCAUGAAUUGGAGAUAGGUCUGACUGCAGCUUAAAGUUUGACAGACUCAUAUCUUUUCCAAAGAGUUAAAUCUGAAGGGAGUCGGAUGAAACGUACUCUAAGUAGAGAUUUAUUUUAAAUUAGACGCUUCGGCCAUAGAUUUGUUUGGCCGUAAAACUACUAUAGUAACAAUUAUCCCGCCGGUGCCGGGGAUUUACUUUCUUUUUCUCUCGUUUAGUUCGCUUAUUUGGAGAUAAAAUCGCCGAUCGGCCAGUAGCUUAAGCUUAGUUUUCUUCCGCUAUUUUUUUAUAUGCUAGAAAUUCUAAUUAAUAAUGGAGAAAUAUCUGAAUGGAGUAUCGAUGAGGUUUAUUAUUUGCGUUUAAGGUAAGUUUUACGCUAGAAUUGCAGUCGAGAAAUGCUGGGAAUUUAUAACGCUAUCGAAAGAAAAAUAUAUUUAUCUCCGUCGAAAGAUGAAUUUCUAUUAAUUCUGGAAAGAAAAAUUCGCCCGAGGCGUGGUUGGAGACGUAUGGAAUAUAGCGCUGUUGCACGCUUCUCCACUACCAUAUUUUUGUUAUCUGGAGUUUUGUAAUUCUUUCUAGUUGAUUAGAUUUUUUUAGUGAUUUUCACCGUCCAGCGAACUUUAUCUGGUUGUAAAAGAAAACUUCAUUUUUCUGUUCGUUAUAUCGAUGACCGUAUACGCGCGAAAUGCUUCUUAUAAGUAUAUUGUUACGAUAAAUAUAUAUAUAUAUAUAUAAUAUAAAUAAAAUGUCU